rnacentral:ncRNA from 1 species
UGAGUUUGAUCCUGCUUCAGAAGGAACGCUAGCUAUAUGCUUAACACAUGUAAGUCGAACGUGAUUUUCGGGGAGCUGGGCAGAAGGAAAAGAGGCUCAACGCUAAAGUAGUCUCGCCCUGGUUCAAAACGUAAGGGCACGCACGUAAGCGAAGAUUUUCAGCCUCAGUUUGCUGGAUCAGAAUAGUUGAGAACAAAGUGGCGAACGGGUGCGUAAUGUGUGGGAAUCUGCCGAACAGUUCUGGACAAAUCCUGAAUCAAGCUCCAAAGCGCUGUUUGAUGAGCCUGCGUAGUAUUAGGUAGUUGGUCAGGUAAAGGCUGACCAAGCCAAUGAUGCUUAGCUGGUCUUUUUCGAUGAUCAGCCACAUUGGGACUAAGACACGGUCAGAACUCCCACAGGGGACAGUAGUGGGGAAUCUUGGACAAUGGGCGAAAGCCCAAUCCAGUAAUAUCGCGUGAGUGAAGAAGGGAAAUUCCGCUUGUAAAGCUCUUUUGUCGAGUGCGCGAUCAUGACAGGACUCCAGAAAGAAGCCCCGGCUAACUCCGUACCAGCAGCAGCAGUAAGACGGGGAGGGAGGCAAGUGUUCUUCGGACUGACUGGGCGUAAAGGGGCACGUAGGCGGUGAAUCAGGUUGAAAGUGAAAGUCACAAAAAACUGGUGGAAUGCUCUCAAAACCAAUUCAUCUAAGUAAGACAGAGGAGAGUGGAAUUUCGUGUGUAGGGGUAAAAUCCGUAGAUCUAAGAAGGAAUGGCAAAAGAAAAGGAAGCUCUCUAGGUCCCUACCGACGCUGGGGUGCAAAAGCAUGUCGAGCGAACAGGAUUAGAUACCCUGGUAGUCGAUGAUGUAAAUGAUGAGUGUUCGCCCUUGGUCUACGUGGAUCAAGGUCCCAGCUAACACGUGAAACACCACGCCUGGGGAGUACCGUCGCAAGAUCAAAACUCAAAGGAAUUGACGGGGGCCUGCACAAGCGGUGGAGCAUGUGGUUUAGUUCGAUACAACGCGCAAAACCUUACCAGCCCUUGACAUAUGAACAACAAAACCUGUCCUUAACAGGAUGGUACUGACUUUCAUACAGGUGCUGCAUGGCUGUUGUUAGCUCGUAUCGUGAGAUGUUUGGUCAAGUCCUAUAAUGAGUGAAACCCUUGUUUUGUGUUGCUGAGAUACGCACCUAAGGAGAAAUGGCAACCGGAGUGAGCCGAGUGAUGUACCAGCGCUACUAGUUGAGUGCCAGCACGUAGCUGUGCUUUCAGCAAGAAGUUCACGGGAGCCGGCGCCUUUCGAAGCACUUUCACGUGUGAACCGAAGUCAUCUGGAAAGAUUGCCUCAGUUCGGAUUGUUCUCUGCAACUCGGGAAUAUGAAGUUGGAAUCGCUAGUAAUCAUGGAUCAGCAUGCCGCGGUGAGUAUGUACCCGGGCCCUGUACACACCGUCCGUCACACCCUGGCAAUUGGUUUUGCCCGAAGGAUCAGACUAAUGAUCAUCCAUGACUUCUGUGUACCACUAGUGCCACAAAGGCUUUUGGUGGUCUUAUUAGCUCAUACCACGGUGGUGUCUUCGACUGGGUGAAGUCAUAACAAGGUAGCCAUAGGGGAACCUGUGGUUU